UAGAGUUUGAUCCUGGCUCAGGAUGAACGCUGGCGGCGUGCCUAACACAUGCAAGUCGAGCGAGAAAUUUGUAAAAGAAGCUUCGGUGGAAUUUACAAAUGGAAAGCGGCGGACGGGUGAGUAACGCGUAGGCAACCUGCCCCAUACUAAGGGAUAGCAUCGGGAAACUGAUAUUAAUACCUCAUAACACCGAACUAAUACCUAUUAGAACGGUCAAAGAUUUAUCGGUAUGGGAUGGGCCUGCGUCUGAUUAGCUAGUUGGUAAGGUAACGGCUUACCAAGGCGACGAUCAGUAGCCGACCUGAGAGGGUGAUCGGCCACAUUGGAACUGAGACACGGUCCAAACUCCUACGGGAGGCAGCAGUGGGGAAUAUUGCACAAUGGGCGAAAGCCUGAUGCAGCAACGCCGCGUGAACGAUGAAGGCCCUUGGGUCGUAAAGUUCUGUCCUUGGGGAAGAAAAAAAUGACGGUACCCAAGAAGAAAGCCCCGGCUAAUUACGUGCCAGCAGCCGCGGUAAUACGUAAGGGGCGAGCGUUAUCCGGAAUUAUUGGGCGUAAAGAGUAUGUAGGUGGUUUUUUAAGCGCGAGGUUUAAGGCAAUGGCUCAACCAUUGUUUGCCUUGCGAACUGGAAAACUUGAGUGCAGGAGAGGAAAGCGGAAUUCCUAGUGUAGCGGUGAAAUGCGUAGAUAUUAGGAGGAACACCAGAGGCGAAGGCGGCUUUCUGGACUGUAACUGACACUGAGAUACGAAAGCGUGGGGAGCAAACAGGAUUAGAUACCCUGGUAGUCCACGCCGUAAACGAUGAGCACUAGGUGUCGGGGUCGCAAGACUUCGGUGCCGCAGUUAACGCAUUAAGUGCUCCGCCUGGGGAGUACGCACGCAAGUGUGAAACUCAAAGGAAUUGACGGGGACCCGCACAAGCAGCGGAGCAUGUGGUUUAAUUCGAAGCAACGCGAAGAACCUUACCAGAACUUGACAUCCUCCUGACAGGUCCUUAAUCGGACCCUUCUUCGGACAGGAGAGACAGGUGGUGCAUGGUUGUCGUCAGCUCGUGUCGUGAGAUGUUGGGUUAAGUCCCGCAACGAGCGCAACCCUUAUCAUUAGUUGCCAUCAUUAAGUUGGGCACUCUAGUGAGACUGCCGGGGAUAACUCGGAGGAAGGUGGGGAUGACGUCAAAUCAUCAUGCCCCUUAUGUUCUGGGCUACACACGUGCUACAAUGGCUGGUACAAAGAGACGCAAGACCGUGAGGUGGAGCAAAUCUUAAAAACCAGCCCCAGUUCGGAUUGCAGGCUGCAACUCGCCUGCAUGAAGUCGGAGUUGCUAGUAAUCGUGGAUCAGAAUGCCACGGUGAAUGCGUUCCCGGGUCUUGUACACACCGCCCGUCACACCAUGGAAGUUGGGGGCGCCCGAAGUUGGUCAAUUAAUAGACUACCUAAGGUGAAACCAAUGACUAGGGUGAAGUCGUAACAAGGUAACC
rnacentral:rRNA from 1 species